rnacentral:lncRNA from 1 species
UGUGAAACUACAAGCUCAAUUCCAGACAAUACCCUACAGAUAUUUCCUGAUAAUGUUGACAUAAUUUCAUCUCCAAAAACACACAACAGCCUGCCUUAUAAAAUACUUAACAACUAAAAUAUGUUCAAUCAAAUAGAACCACAAUGGCGCAGGAAUUGCUCUACCUAAAUUGAAGCUACUAUCUGUUUCUUCUCUAGAAAACCAGCAAGCAAACAAUACCACAAUCUAGACAUCAUUACAAACCAAAUAAAUUUCAAUGUGAUUCCGAAAUUUACCAAACCAACAUAAUUCAAUAUGUUAACUCAAUUAUUUAUCAAAUGUCACCAAAUCAACAAACUUUGGCAACAUAUAUGGGAAAUCACCAAAGAGAAUUAUCAACAAUACAACUAAUGAAGUUCAAUUUAUAUGCAUGUGAAACUAUAAGCUCAAUUCCAGACAAUACCCUACAGAAAUUUCCUGAUAAUGUUGACAUAAUUUCAUCUCCAAAAACACACAACAGCCUGCCUUAUAAAAUACUUAACAACUAAAAUAUGUUCAAUCAAAUAGAACCGCAGUGGUGCAGGAAUUGCCCUACCUAAACCGAUAGUUCCCGUAAGACAAGCUACUAUCUGUUUCUUCU